rnacentral:rRNA from 1 species
UACGUAGGGGGGCAAGCGUUGUCCGGAAUUAUUGGGCGUAAAGAGCGUGUAGGCGGUCCGGUAAGUCAGCUGUGAAAGUCAAGGGCUCAACCCUUGAAAGCCGGUUGAUACUGUCGGGCUAGAGUCCGGAAGAGGCGAGUGGAAUUCCCCGGUGUAGCGGUGAAAUGCCGCAGAUAUCGGGAGGAACACCAAUGGCGAGGCAGCUCGCUGGGACGGUACUGACGCUGAGACGCGAAAGCGUGGGAGCAAACAGGAUUAGAAACCCUUCGUG